rnacentral:rRNA from 1 species
CCCUUAGAUGUUCUGGGCCGCACGCGCGCUACACUGAUGAAUGCAACGAGCUCUACCCUUGACCGAAAGGCCCGGGUAAACUUGUGAAACUUCAUCGUGAUGGGGAUAGAUUAUUGCAAUUAUUAAUCUUCAACGAGGAAUUCCUAGUAAGCGCGAGUCAUCAGCUCGCGUUGAUUACGUCCCUGCCCUUUGUACACACCGCCCGUCGCGCCUACCGAUUGAAUGGUCCGGUGAAAUCUUCGGAUUGCUGACCAAGAUCCAGCAAUGGAGCUUGGUUGCGAGAAGUUGAUUAAACCUUAUUAUUUAGAGGAAGGAGAAGUCGUAACA